rnacentral:rRNA from 1 species
AUUGAACGCUGGCGGCAGGCCUAACACAUGCAAGUCGAGCGAGCGGCGGACGGGUGAGUAAUGUAUGGGGACUGCCCGAUAGAGGGGGAUAACUCCUGGAAACGGUAGCUAAUCCCGCAUACUCUCGAACAACCCAUAUGGGAUUAGCUAGGUGGUGAGGUAAUGGCUCACCAAGGCGACGAUCCCUAGCUGGUCUGAGAGGAUUAUCAGCAACACGGGGACUGAGACACGGCCCAGACUCCUACGGAGGCAGCAGUGGGGAAUAUUGCACAAUGGGCGCAAGCCUGAUGCAGCCAUGCCGCGUGUAUGAAGAAGGCCUUCGGGUUGUAAAGUACUUUCAGUCGGGAGGCGUGACCGACAGAAGAAGCACCGGCUAACUCCGUGCCAGCAGCCGCGGUAAUUC